rnacentral:rRNA from 1 species
UACGGAGGGUGCGAGCGUUGUCCGGAAUCACUGGGCGUAAAGAGCGUGUAGGCGGCUCGAUAAGUCUGCUGUGAAAGUCCAGGGCUCAACCUCGAGACGCCGGUGGAAACCAUCAGACUAGAGUCCGGAAGAGGAGAGUGGAAUUCCUGGUGUAGCGGUGAAAUGCGCAGAUAUCAGGAAGAACACCCGUGGCUAAGGCGGCUCUCUAGUACGGUACUGACGCUGAGACGCGAAAGCGUGGGGAGCGAACAGG